UCCGUAGGUGAACCUGCGGAGGGAUCAUUACCGAGUUUACAACUCCCAAACCCCUGUGAACAUACCAAUUGUUGCCUCGGCGGAUCAGCCCGCUCCCGGUAAAACGGGACGGCCCGCCAGAGGACCCCUAAACUCUGUUUCUAUAUGUAACUUCUGAGUAAAACCAUAAAUAAAUCAAAACUUUCAACAACGGAUCUCUUGGUUCUGGCAUCGAUGAAGAACGCAGCAAAAUGCGAUAAGUAAUGUGAAUUGCAGAAUUCAGUGAAUCAUCGAAUCUUUGAACGCACAUUGCGCCCGCCAGUAUUCUGGCGGGCAUGCCUGUUCGAGCGUCAUUUCAACCCUCAAGCCCUCGGGUUUGGUGUUGGGGAUCGGCGAGCCCUUGCGGCAAGCCGGCCCCGAAAUCUAGUGGCGGUCUCGCUGCAGCUUCCAUUGCGUAGUAGUAAAACCCUCGCAACUGGUACGCGGCGCGGCCAAGCCGUUAAACCCCCAACUUCUGAAUGUUGACCUCGGAUCAGGUAGGAAUACCCGCUGAACUUAAGCAUAUCAAUAAGCGGAGGAA
rnacentral:rRNA from 1 species